rnacentral:tRNA from 1 species
GCCUUUGUGGUGUAGUGGUCACCACACUAAAGCAUAAACGAGAGGUCCGUGGUUCAAUUCCCACCGAAGGCA